rnacentral:rRNA from 1 species
UACAGAGGUCUCAAGCGUUGUUCGGAAUUACUGGGCGUAAAGGGCGCGUAGGCGGCACAGCAAGUCGGGAGUGAAAGCCCGGGGCUCAACCCCGGAAUGGCUUUCGAAACUGCUGAGCUAGAGUACAGAAGGGGCAACCGGAAUUCCCAGUGUAGCGGUGAAAUGCGUAGAUAUUGGGAAGAACACCUGAGGCGAAGGCGGGUUGCUGGGCUGAUACUGACGCUGAGGCGCGAAAGCCAGGGGAGCAAACGGG